rnacentral:rRNA from 1 species
GAUGAACGCUGGCGGCGUGCCUAAUACAUGCAAGUCGAGCGAACAGACGAGGAGCUUGCUCCUCUGACGUUAGCGGCGGACGGGUGAGUAACACGUGGAUAACCUACCUAUAAGACUGGGAUAACUUCGGGAAACCGGAGCUAAUACCGGAUAAUAUAUUGAACCGCAUGGUUCAAUAGUGAAAGACGGUUUUGCUGUCACUUAUAGAUGGAUCCGCGCCGCAUUAGCUAGUUGGUAAGGUAACGGCUUACCAAGGCAACGAUGCGUAGCCGGCCUGAGAGGGUGAUCGGCCACACUGGAACUGAGACACGGUCCAGACUCCUACGGGAGGCAGCAGUAGGGAAUCUUCCGCAAUGGGCGAAAGCCUGACGGAGCAACGCCGCGUGAGUGAUGAAGGUCUUCGGAUCGUAAAACUCUGUUAUUAGGGAAGAACAAAUGUGUAAGUAACUAUGCACGUCUUGACGGUACCUAAUCAGAAAGCCACGGCUAACUACGUGC